rnacentral:lncRNA from 1 species
GUAUGAGUCAAAGUUGAUGAUGGUGAUGGGAUUGAGGAGUAGUGAAGAUUCAUACACAGGCAUAGCAAUAGCAAGUAUAAAACGCAAUAACAAGCAUAAAUUGUCGUCCAUAAUACAACAAACUUACUCUACUAUACAUGUGAAUAUGAAUAAGCGAUGGAGUUGCUUACCUCUCGGAGCUCAUGUGCUAUUUCCUAGCGUCUUCGGUGGCUUUUAUGUCGGCAUUUUUGCUCUUCCUGUAACUCCUUUUCUUCAAAUGAAGCACCACUUCUUUUU